CCUACGGGAGGCUGCAGUCGAGAAUCAUUCACAAUGGUGGAAACCCUGAUGGUGCGACGCCGCGUGGGGGAAUGAAGGUCUUCGGAUUGUAAACCCCUGUCAUGUGGGAGCAAAUUAAAAAGAUAGUACCACAAGAGGAAGAGACGGCUAACACUGUGCCAGCAGCCGCGGUAAUUCAGAGGUCUCAAGCGUUGUUCGGAAUCACUUGGCGUAAAGCGUGCGUAGGCUGUUUCGUAAGUCGUGUGUGAAAGGCGCGGGCUCAACCCGCGGACGGCACAUGAUACUGCGAGACUAGAGUAGGAGAGGGGGAUGCGGAAUUCUCGGUGUAGCAGUGAAAUGCGUAGAUAUCGAGAGGAACACUCGUGGCGAAGGCAGGUUCCUGGACAUUAACUGACGCUGAGGCACGAAGGCCAGGGGAGCGAAAGGGAUUAGAUACCCGUGUAGUC
rnacentral:rRNA from 1 species